rnacentral:rRNA from 1 species
UGGGGAAUCUUGCACAAUGGGGGAAACCCUGAUGCAGCGACGCCGCGUGAGCGAUGAAGGUUUUCGAAUCGUAAAGCUCUGUCCUAUGGGAAGAUAAUGACGGUACCAUAGGAGGAAGCCCCGGCUAACUACGUGCCAGCAGCCGCGGUAAUACGUAGGGGGCGAGCGUUGUCCGGAAUUACUGGGCGUAAAGGGUUCGCAGGCGGCAUGGCAAGUCUGAUGUAAAAGGCGAAAGCUCAACUUUCGUAAGCAUCGGAAACUGUCAAGCUUGAGUGAAGGAGAGGCAAGUGGAAUUCCUAGUGUAGCGGUGGAAUGCGUAGAUAUUAGGAGGAAUACCGGUGGCGAAGGCGACUUGCUGGACUUCAACUGACGCUGAGGAACGAAAGCGUAGGUAGCAAACAGG